rnacentral:rRNA from 1 species
UACGAAGGGGCUAGCGUUGUUCGGAAUCACUGGGCGUAAAGCGCACGUAGGCGGAUCUUUAAGUCAGGGGUGAAAUCCCGAGGCUCAACCUCGGAACUGCCUUUGAUACUGGGGAUCUCGAGUCCGGGAGAGGUGAGUGGAACUGGCGAGUGUAGAGGUGAAAAUUCGUAGAUAUUCGCAAGAACACCAGUGGCGAAGGCGGCUCACUGGCCCGAACUGACGCUGAGGUGCGAAAGCGAUGGGGAGCAAACGGGG